rnacentral:rRNA from 1 species
CAUGCAAGUCGAACGGCAGCAUUGGAGCUUGCUCCUGAUGGCGAGUGGCGAACGGGUGAGUAAUAUAUCGGAACGUGCCCUAGAGUGGGGGAUAACUAGUCGAAAGACUAGCUAAUACCGCAUACGAUCUACGGAUGAAAGUGGGGGAUCGCAAGACCUCAUGCUCCUGGAGCGGCCGAUAUCUGAUUAGCUAGUUGGUGGGGUAAAAGCCUACCAAGGCGACGAUCAGUAGCUGGUCUGAGAGGACGACCAGCCACACUGGGACUGAGACACGGCCCAGACUCCUACGGGAGGCAGCAGUGGGGAAUUUUGGACAAUGGGGGCAACCCUGAUCCAGCAAUGCCGCGUGAGUGAAGAAGGCCUUCGGGUUGUAAAGCUCUUUUGUCAGGGAAGAAACGGUAGUAGCUAAUAUCUAUUACUAAUGACGGUACCUGAAGAAUAAGCACCGGCUAACUACGUGCCAGCAGCCGCGGUAAUACGUAGGGUGCAAGCGUUAAUCGGAAUUACUGGGCGUAAAGCGUGCGCAGGCGGUUGUGUAAGUCAGAUGUGAAAUCCCCGGGCUCAACCUGGGAAUUGCAUUUGAGACUGCACGGCUAGAGUGUGUCAGAGGGGGGUAGAAUUCCACGUGUAGCAGUGAAAUGCGUAGAUAUGUGGAGGAAUACCGAUGGCGAAGGCAGCCCCCUGGGAUAACACUGACGCUCAUGCACGAAAGCGUGGGGAGCAAACGGAUUAGAUACCCUGGUAGUCACGCCCUAAACGAUGUCUACUAGUUGUCGGGUCUUAAUUGACUUGGUAACGCAGCUAACGCGUGAAGUAGACCGCCUGGGGAGUACGGUCGCAAGAUUAAAACUCAAAGGAAUUGACGGGGACCCGCACAAGCGGUGGAUGAUGUGGAUUAAUUCGAUGCAACGCGAAAAACCUUACCUACCCUUGACAUGGAUGGAAUCCUGAAGAGAUGUGGGAGUGCUCGAAAGAGAACCAUCACACAGGUGCUGCAUGGCUGUCGUCAGCUCGUGUCGUGAGAUGUUGGGUUAAGUCCCGCAACGAGCGCAACCCUUGUCAUUAGUUGCUACGAAAGGGCACUCUAAUGAGACUGCCGGUGACAAACCGGAGGAAGGUGGGGAUGACGUCAAGUCCUCAUGGCCCUUAUGGGUAGGGCUUCACACGUCAUACAAUGGUACAUACAGAGGGCCGCCAACCCGCGAGGGGGAGCUAAUCCCAGAAAGUGUAUCGUAGUCCGGAUUGGAGUCUGCAACUCGACUCCAUGAAGUUGGAAUCGCUAGUAAUCGCGGAUCAGCAUGUCGCGGUGAAUACGUUCCCGGGUCUUGUACACACCGCCCGUCACACCAUGGGAGCGGGUUUUACCAGAAGUGGGUAGCCUAACCGCANGGAGGGCGCUCACCACGGUAGGAUUCGUGAC